AUGGCGCUCGUGGCAGCACCGGGACAGGCCAACCCGCCGCACGACCCGCCGCUGAUGUAUGCGAGAUGGCACGAUUUCCACAACAACAGCGACCUGCAGAGGUCCUUGGAAAAUACUCGUCAGAAAUGGUUAAAAUUAACAGCCAAGCAGUGCAUUGUCAUUUCACUUAAUUACGCCCAAUUUCUUCAGCCAUCAGCCUACUUGAACGACCGUGCCUUCGACAAUCACCACCUUUAUUUCAUUGUGUUGACGGAACAGCAGUUCCUUGAGUUCGAGAUGUUCAAUAGGGUGAGAAAUCGUAUGUGGUUCGAAUAUCAAAGUUACUCGAAUCCAGCACAAGAAUCGGAAGGGGAUGAUCUGAUGGAACCUAAGAAGAAGAAUGUCGAUCCCAACUCCAGGAUUAAGGUCAAAAAUCAUGUGGUCACAGGGAAACAGCGGAGGCGCAACAGAUAUUUCAUCUGUCCGGAGUCAUUUCAGAGCAUCACCGGCACACCAUUGCCUAUGCCCAGAAUCAUGAUAUUGCAGUAUUUCAUGCUUCCAAAUAUGAACUCUGACCAAAGAAGAAUAACACUGGAGGCAGGGAAUGACCCACCUGUUCCUCGAGGGAUGACAAUGGCAAUGCCAUUGAUCAGGAAAUACCAACAAGCUCCCGAGCCAGCCAAUGUGCCGCAGCAUGGGGUUCCUCUUCAACAGCCACAUGAUUAUUUGGAGGAGAUGGGAAAAUGUGAUACAACUGAUGCAAAGAAUGCAGAGGAGAUGGCCUCCUUCUCCAGCAACAUCAUGCUCUUAAAGGAUUUACUCCUCAGCGUUCAUGAGAAUGUAACGAAGACACAGGAGAUGAUUGUGAACAACGUCUCAUCUUCUAAGGAAGGAGAUGGCUCCAAGAGGCUGAAUGAGAUGACAUGGACCAGGGAAGGCCCAGCACCUUCAGUGGUUCCAAGCCAUGUGCCACCUCCAAUUGUUCCAAGCUAUGUGCCACCGCAUAACCGUGAAAAGAACAGAGCUUCUGAUUCGGAGGCUUCAGCAAUCCAAACCUUGGACAAAGGUGAAACAUCUGAUGCAAAGAAUGAGGAGAUGACCUCCCUCUCCAGCGACGUCUUGGUUUUAAAGGACAUGAUCCUAAGCCUCCGUGAGAAUGUUAUGAAGAUGAACGAGAUGAUUGUGAACAAUGCCUCAUCUUCCAAGGACAACCAUGAGCCUGUGAUGUCCAUGAUCAGGGAACAUGUGGGUGCUCUGUCCAGGGCCUUCUUAUCUUUGAAGCUUGGAAGAUGA
rnacentral:rRNA from 1 species